ACAUUUCAGUACGGAACGAGACCUAAGCGCACAUGGUUGUGGCGUCCAAAGUUCACUAAAGGAUUAGAGGGAUUUAGCUCCUGGUUUGAAUGGAGAACAAGCUCUUACGUUGAUUCUCACCGAGUUACGGCUGCAUUCUACGUCUUAUGGCGUCCAACGAUGAUCUGGCUUUCAAAUAAAGUGUGGGAAUCAUCAGUCGGAGGGUCUAUCCUUUUUUAAGCCAGGGAGCUACACAAGAUGUGCUGCCGAAUGUCUGUUAGGCGAAUAUCGUUUCUGGCCCGAACCAUACUGACCACAGCCAACACUUGCUGGUCAGUCAAAACAACAUGGACGAACAAUGAGGGCCUCUAGUGGCCGAAACACAAAACAGCAAGUCUGGGAUCCUGACACUGUGUGGAAAUCAAGAUCACUGUUUGAGAGUUAUAGAUCCACGCCCUUCCAUUUUGGGUGCAUACAGGAAAAAAAAGUAAAACCUUGGGAUGUGGGAUUUCUUUGUGACAUGCCUAUUAAAAAUCUCAAUUUGAGUGAAGUCUAGUGUUGUUCAGAGAACUUGUGUGAUAGGGUGUGAAGUCUGGAUCAAGCUGGAGCAGCAAUUUACUGUUGCUGAUGUAUUACCUAAUAUUGUCAAAAAUAUAUAUUUUCCCCAUAAACUAUAUAACUUACUCUUUGGAUUUGAGCUUGUCUUAAAUGAAGCUUUUAACAAUGAAAUGAGGCUGGUACUUAAUUUAUAUUUACUUGCAGAAGUAAUACAGCCUUGGAAGAAGCUUCCUUUUGGUUGAUGAUGUAAGUGAAAGUGCAUAACUGUAAAUUCCUUUUGUAUAUUUGUUUAACAUGUGACAUUGUUGUAAAAUAUUAAUUUUAUCAUUCACACCAGCUGCUUUUCAUUACCAGAGAGCUGCCAAGAAGGCAAACUAUGAAUAAAAUGUUGUGUAAUUGUUGCAUAGUUGUAUAUGGAUCAAACUGUAUUUUAAUUGAAAUUUAAUUGUAAUUUAAUUGAUUUUUAGAUUUUCAGACACACAAAAAACAGUCACAAAACAAGACAAAACACAGCUACACAGGUAUAAAAUGAGAAGGGGGAAAAAAAAACAACAACAAAAAAACCCAUCUCCUUCAGAUUCAAUUUAGCAGUUAACCACAACACCGGGUAGAGGCAAGGGAGGUCAGCACAGACUUUUGCUCAAUGUGACAUUAUGGACAAGUUCAAAUAAUACUAAUAACAAUAAAAUAAAAAUAAUAAUAAUCACCUAGGUAUUUUAUCUUUAAAGCAAGGGUGAUCGGGAAAGUGACAC